UACGUAGGUGGCAAGCGUUGUUCGGAAUCAUUGGGCGUAAAGCGCGCGCAGGCGGAUUGAUAAGUCAGGUGUGAAAUCUCGGGGCUCAACCCCGAAACUGCGCCUGAAACUAUUAGUCUAGAAGGUCGGAGGGGGCAGGGGAAUUUCACGUGUAGGGGUAAAAUCCGUAGAGAUGUGAAGGAACACCGGGGGCGAAGGCGCCUGCCUGGACGACUAUUGACGCUGAGGCGCGAAAGCGUGGGGAGCAAACAGG
rnacentral:misc_RNA from 1 species